GAAAGAAGAAGACAGGUGCUGCAAAUCAUGGCAAUGAUUUGACUGCACCAUUGCAGCUACAAAGAGAAAAAAAAAGGAACUUUCACCAGAACUGUUGUUCCUCUUCCAUUGGCCAUCUCCAAGGUUAUUUUUUGAAUUUGAUAAACUAUCCAACCAAUUUCAUAACCACAGAUCAUGUGUGACCAGACCAGCAAAAACUUCACUAUCCAGCAUCUUUAAAUCAAGAACCAUUGAGACCAGACCCCAGGAUAACUGGUUUGCACAAAGACAGAACCAGUCAAAAACCAUAAACAGGUAGAUCCAUGGAUCUCCUGACAUCAGUGAUUUCCGGAAUUUUCUAAGAAAGGUUUGUGAUUAAAGAGGAUUCUCCAGACAGGAAACCAGAAGAGGAAAAAUGUGUCUAAUUCUACAAGAUGGAUAGAGAAUGGGUUCAGGGACUCGCUGCAGAGACCUACUGAGCCAUCCAUGUGAAUCCAUCUUCCAGUCAGGCAGAUGCCAGGGAGAAGAGAUGAGAACAUCCAGGGCAUGUUUUCAAAUCCAUCACAGAACAAAACUGGGUAUUUUUUAUAUACUAUUAGAGUAUCAUUUUGCCUGCACAACCCCGUGUUGUCAGUGAUAAUAUGAAGAAUAUUCUUUAACCUGUUGGAAAAAAAAAAUCAAAGACUUGUUUUUUUUUUCCUGUCUUCACACAUUGUUUGUUCCAAAUGUCAAAUUCAGAGUGAAGUUAAACAAAUCUGUGCCACUUGAGAAAGCAGACAUACUGUUCCUGUAUGGUGUAAUAAAAUCAAAAAUAAAGCAACCACUCAUUUGCCAGAAUGUCUUGUUUUAAGAUGCA